CGCACAUUGCGCCCCUUGGUAUUCCGAGGGGCAUGCCUGUUCGAGCGUCGUUUAAACGAUCAAGCACCGCUUGGUAUUGGGUGCAGGUCCGGAAGGACCCUCCCGUAACCCGUUGGGCGGGACCGUCCGGCUCCAAGCGUAGCAGAAUAUCUUCCGCUUCGGGGCUCCGGCGGCCUCUGCCCGGGAAGCACAUUCAGAGUUUGACCUCGGAUCAGGUAGGGAUACCCGCUGAACUUAA
rnacentral:misc_RNA from 1 species